CCAAGACUCUGAGAUCAUGACCCGAGCUGAAGGCAGAGGCUUUAUCCCCUUGAGCCACCCAGGCGCCCCUUGGAGCUGGAUCAUAUGCUGGUAGGGGAGCAUAUUCUACUGGGAAAGGGAGAAUGGUGAUGUGAAAGCACUAGUUGCAGUAUUUCCUUCAUUCCAAGGUGCAUUUGUCCUCCAUCUUCCUGUUGUAGUCUGAAUACCUCUUAAAAUUUGUGCAGUUAAUGUAGUAGUAUUUUUUUGUUUUUGUUUUUUUGGGUUUUGUUUGUUUUGUUUUGUUUUGAAAAGCUGUCAUUAAACCCUCUAGUAUCGUAAUUGCUAUCAUCAUAGGAUGGAUAAAAAUAAUGGUCUAUCUUUUUCUUCAUUGUUAGAUUUGGACUAUUUUCUUUUUUUUAUUUUGGACUAUUUUUUUUCUUUUACUCCCAUUUUGAUAUUAUUAUUAGUUAGUUAGUACACAGUGCUAAGAGACUCUGGUACGCAAGGGUCCUGCUUCUUGAGGAGGAUUGGAACAUAGUCCCCCUGGGUGCAGCUGACCCGCUGUUAGAGAUUAGUGUGUAACCUUUGGGGAAGUGGAACUUGAUUAUCUUUUGGGAGGAGAGGCUGAGUUCUUCCUGGUUAGCAUAACUUUGAAUGACAUGUGAAGGAAGUAGCUUGAAAUCACAUUUCUAAUUCACAUGUCCUUGUUACCUGUAGGCCUUACCCUGAGUUCCCCCAACUUUAGACAGUGAUCCUUUAACAACAUAGAACAAGAGAAAACCUUAACUUACUAUUUUCUUUCUGGAACUAUUUGAAUACUUUUAAAAUUUAUAUAGUAUAUUACUUGGGAGUUUUUUCCCAAAUGCCCUCUCAUUUUCUUAAGCCUCAUUUCUUUAGCUUUUGCUUAGUACUGUAUUACAAACCACCCCAACCCUCUGGCUUAUACCACAAGCUUAUUUUUCUCUCACUGAUGGGUCAGUUGGGCUUUGCCUCCAGGUUUCAGCUUUGGCUCACGUUGGCUCCAAGCUUCUCAUGCUGCAGCCUGUCCAGAAAGCAGUAGCUAUCUAAGAGCGGACUUCUCAUGAAUGGGGAUGGCAGCUUGGGGACGGAAGCACUAUGGACGAGAGAGACCUGCACCCACAAGGAACAGCACACCCCGCGCUGGCCUUCCCACCCCAGUCCCCACCUGCAACGUAUGCCCUGGCUCCAGCCACGCGCUGGUUCAGCUUGCUCAAUGACAGCCGGCUCCCGAGCAUCUGUCCCCCCUGCCAGGGAGCUGCCCACCCCUGCCCCUCCCACGAGCCCCUCCCUCACCUUGCGUCACCACCUUGCCGAAGACGGGCAGGGAGUCGAGCGUGGAGCAGUUCCAGCGCCGGUUCCGGAACUGGUACUGGCACUCCUCGAUGGCCAGCUGAGCGCCGCGGCGCACCGAGUCCAUCACCUCCAGGUUCCGCUUGCACAUCUGUACCUGCCUCUGGAUCAGGCCCUUGAGCUUCUCGCAUGUCUCCUCCUCCGAGAUGCUCCCCACCGAGGACAGCUUGGCUAGGUACCUGGGGAGGAGGCGGUGGGGUGGAGUGCCCUGUGGCCGCCUUCUCUUGCCACUGCCGGGACCGGGCUGUGCCCAGCCCAGGUCUCCGGGAACCAACUCAUCCCACUGACCGGUCCUGGCAGUGACUUCUCUCUGGAUCCGGAGACAGGCUCCCCUGCCUGGCUCUUGGGGCCAAAGAGGGAAUGCUCCUUGCAUAAGAAAGCCUCUGCCUCCACCAAAGCAGGCUAGGCACCAGGAGGGACACCAACAGAACCUCCACCCCAGCAUGACCCUGGGGCUCUGACCCUGUUAUGUCCCUCUGACUGCGAGGCUGAGACCACUCCCCUGGUGUGUCUCUCUCUCCCCACCUCCAGGCAAGGAUCCUGGCCACCUAAGCCCAGCCCAAGCCAUGGCCGGCAGCAUUCUCGGGUACCAGAUGGAGGCCAGCAUCGGGGCUACAGCCGGAAGUGGCGAGCAUGGAUCCUCUCCCAGAGCACCGCCGUGAGAGAAAGCAAUUCCACGUGGCUGAGGCAGCUGGCUCUGAGCCGGGCACACAGCAGGUGUGACCAGGAGGAGCCCCCCCUUCCCUGGCAGCACAGGUCCGGACUCCGCAAGGGGAGGCGGCCUGAAAUCACAGUAACAGGGCUGUAGGGGAGCUGUGGGCUGCCACGGCCGUGAGUCACCAAGACAGCUUCCAGGAAGAAGCCGAGAACCCUCUUCAGCUGAGAAGCGUGCCUGCCCCAUGGCCGGCACCCGAGCCACCCCCCCCACCCCCUCUGCCGGCCCCUGCCUUCAUCUGGCUCAACAGCUGUCCCCUUCCAUGCCACAGGAGGCACAGCUCCACCCCACCCGAUUCUGUCAGAUCCCUGGUCUCGCCCGGGAAGGGCUGGCGGGUACGACCGGACAUGCAGCUGGGAAUGGGGUGGACAGACCUGGGACCCCAAGCCCUUGCCUGCGCUGCUUGUCUGGGUAUCUGGUUCGGGUUUGGGUGCCUAGCCUCAUGUUACAGAGGAGCGAACUGAGGCCCAGAGAGGUGGAGGGUCUCACCCAAAGUCACACAGCCAGUGAGUGACACGGAGCUCUGUCUCCCCUGUAUCUCGGUUGUGAGUCUGCCCUGUCUGACGGCUGGGGGGCUGACACUACCUUCAGUGUUUGUCCAGCCCAUGGCCUCCUCAUUGUCCGGCACAGGCGAGGCACACAGAAGGAGUUCAGUCAAUGCCUGCGGUGUGACGGACGGCUCUGUCCCCCUCUGGCAGAGUACUCAGGGUACGGAAGGGCAGGGGUGAGGGAGUAUGUUGGGAGCUGCCUUUGCCUCCCGCCCUGCAGUGGGCUUGGAGAGGGUCAGGGGUCAGGCACAACUGGUCCUGGAGGCCUCAGGAUUCCCUUCCCUGCAUCCUAAGGUGGCUCAGCCUUUCCCCCAGAGACAUGUGUGCCCCUCGAUGACCCUGGAGCUGGGCUGGGCUCGGAUGUUGGCUGCACAAGCCAUUUCUGGAGAGCUGGAGAGCCAGGCCUGUGGAGGGCCUCAACCAUCUCUGCCUCUUCUCUCGUUCGGGUUGCCUUGCCCCAAUUUAGGCUUCUUCCUGCCACUGCUGAGUCCAGGCUUAGCAAUCUGCCACCUGCUGCCCCAGCCGCCCAGGACUCUCGCCGCAGCCCUGCCAUCGAUCAGGUUACCCCAGCAGCCCGGGCCACCCCGGCUGCCGCUGCCAGCCAGCUCGUGCCCCCAUCUCCUCACCCGGGGGGCUGCAGGUCCUGCAGGCUUCUCCCAGGAGGCCGUCCCCGCCGGCCCGUGCCGCAGCCUUGCAAGGCUGGAGGGCCCUGGCCCUGCCAGGGAGAUCAGAUCCUCUCAGCCACCUGCUGUUUUCAUUAGAAACUAAAAUUAGCUGGGCUUGUCCCAAGCUUUUCCAGGUUUGCUUGCUUUUUUAAAAAAAUAUACAAAUUCCUAGAGGAAAAUCCGCACUUCUCUGACUGCUCUCCAGCUCUCAUUCUGCGCGUCCAGAGGAGAGGGGACGGGAAAUAGCUGGGGUGUUUGGGAGGCCAAGCAGAUCAGUGUCGUGGGUCCUGGCCCUGCGGGUGUCCAGGUGGGGGCUGGGACGCCAGCCCAGGCCUCUCUGCCCCCUCCCUCUGGCCUCCCUGCCUGCCCGGGCCACAUUUAGAGCCUUCUCAGGAGUGGCAGUGCCUGGGACACCCGGGAGGAAGGAGGCCAAGCAGGCGGGAGGAGGAGCCGGAAGGAGCCGCAGCGGCUGCCCAACGGCGAGCCUCCUGGGGAGACAGGCCGGGCGAAGGCACGCGUGCCACAAACCCCACCUGGGACCGCGUUCUCCCUGGGGGUGGCCAGUGCCCGCUUCUGCAGGUCGUCACCACACCCCUUAACUCUCCUUGGGCCUUCGGAUACUUCUGCACGCCUGGUCUCCGAAUCAGGCUGCCCACUCCCCAACGUGGCCCCGUCCUGGAGACCUAUCCUUCCGCACGUCCCGCAGGGUGGCGCACUGUGCAAGAGAGAUGGCGGUCAGGAUCCCGGCUGUGUUCCUGGAGGCAAGUCAGUGAGCAUCUAUGAGCCUCAGGGUCUUCCUCUGUAGAAUGGGGAGAAUAAUCGGUCUCGCUUCAGGACGCUUCAGCAGAUUAAGGGUUCACACAGCAGACACUGCUCCCCUGUGGGCAACCUUAUUAUGUGGUCAGAUGGCCA